GCUUGCUUCUUGGGUGACGAGUGGCGGACGGGUGAGUAAUGUCUGGGAAACUGCCCGAUGGAGGGGGAUAACUACUGGAAACGGUAGCUAAUACCGCAUAACGUCUUCGGACCAAAGUGGGGGACCUUCGGGCCUCACGCCAUCGGAUGUGCCCAGAUGGGAUUAGCUAGUAGGUGGGGUAACGGCUCACCUAGGCGACGAUCCCUAGCUGGUCUGAGAGGAUGACCAGCCACACUGGAACUGAGACACGGUCCAGACUCCUACGGGAGGCAGCAGUGGGGAAUAUUGCACAAUGGGCGCAAGCCUGAUGCAGCCAUGCCGCGUGUAUGAAGAAGGCCUUCGGGUUGUAAAGUACUUUCAGCGGGGAGGAAGGCGAUGCGGUUAAUAACCGCGUCGAUUGACGUUACCCGCAGAAGAAGCACCGGCUAACUCCGUGCCAGCAGCCGCGGUAAUACGGAGGGUGCAAGCGUUAAUCGGAAUUACUGGGCGUAAAGCGCACGCAGGCGGUCUGUCAAGUCAGAU
rnacentral:rRNA from 1 species